rnacentral:tRNA from 1 species
AGAGUUUACAGGAUCGAGGCCUGUUUAUCUAG